UACAGAGGGGGCAAGCGUUAUUCGGAAUUAUUGGGCGUAAAGGGCGCGUAGGCGGUUUUUUAAGUCGGAUGUGCAAUCCCUGGGCUCAACCCAGGAACUGCAUCCGAGACUGGAAGGCUAGAGUACUGGAGAGGGUGGUGGAAUUCCUCGUGUAGCGGUGAAAUGCGUAGAUAUGUGGAGGAACAUCAGUGGCGAAGGCGGCUUCCUGGCUUAAAACUGACACUGUGGCGCGAAAGCGUGGGUAGCAAACAGG
rnacentral:rRNA from 1 species